rnacentral:rRNA from 1 species
CCUACGGGGAGCAGCAGUGGGGGAUAUUGCACAAUGGGGGGAACCCUGAUGCAGCGACGCCGCGUGGGUGAAGAAGCGCCUCGGCGCGUAAAGCCCUGUCAGCAGGGAAGAAAAUGACGGUACCUGAAGAAGAAGCCCCGGCUAACUACGGGCCAGCAGCCGCGGUAAUACGUAGGGGGCAAGCGUUAUCCGGAUUUACGGGGUGGAAAGGGGGCGCAGACGGCGAUGCAAGCCAGGAGUGAAAGCCCGGGGCCCAACCCCGGGACUGCGCUUGGAACUGGGUGGCUGGAGUGCAGGAGGGGCAGGCGGAAUUCCUGGUGUAGCGGUGAAAUGCGUAGAUAUCAGGAGGAACACCGGUGGCGAAGGCGGCCUGCUGGACUGCAACUGACGUUGAGGCCCGAAAGCGUGGGGAGCAAACAGGAUUAGAUACCCGAGUAGUC